rnacentral:rRNA from 1 species
CUACGGGGCGCUGCAGUGGGGAAUAUUGCACAAUGGAGGAAACUCUGAUGCAGCAACGCCGCGUGGAGGAUGACACUUUUCGGAGCGUAAACUCCUUUUAUAUAGGAAGAUAAUGACGGUACUAUAUGAAUAAGCACCGGCUAACUCCGUGCCAGCAGCCGCGGUAAUACGGAGGGUGCAAGCGUUACUCGGAAUCACUGGGCGUAAAGAGCGUGUAGGCGGGUUAAUAAGUCAGAAGUGAAAUCCUAUGGCUCAACCAUAGAACUGCUUUUGAAACUGUUAACCUAGAAUAUGGGAGAGGUAGAUGGAAUUUCUGGUGUAGGGGUAAAAUCCGUAGAGAUCAGAAGGAAUACCGAUUGCGAAGGCGAUCUACUAGAACAUUAUUGACGCUGAGACGCGAAAGCGUGGGGAGCAAACAGGAUUAGAUACCCUCGUAGUC